GACUGACACUAACAGACAGGAGAAGGAACAAGUUCUUAGGGAAAGAUAAGGAACUUGGGAAGGACAGGUUGAGGUGAAAUGUCUGAGUGGAAGUACUGGUGGGAAGUUGCAGGAAUCUGGUGUCUGGAACAAUCUAGGCUAAUAUAGCAUCAGUGGUAAUGAUAUUCGAAGCCGUGGAUGACGAUGGUAAAGUGAAUACAGGCUCAAGCAUCAAGCUGCAGCUGCUAACAUAUAAGCUUGAGAGGACAGAAGCCAACUAACAGUGGGGAGAUAAGAGCAACACUAGCUCACUGUGACCCGGCACUUCUCUACUCCAGCACUUGGCUUCAGAGCUCAGGCUAGUCCCUCAAUGACUACGCUCACACCUUUAUUCUAGGUGACUAUGAAGCUACAGGGCAGUUGAAGAUCUGAAACUUGAUUGCCUGUUGCAAGGAUAUGAGCCAAUACUCCUCAAGCCUAAGGCCCUGAUGAGCACCAGGGAUUCUCGCCUUUCUUUAGACCUGAGAUUUAGGCGUUCCCAGUUGGCCUAUUUUCAUCUUCUCUGGACUGACUUCCUUUUAUACCCCGGCCUUCAUCUGUCUAUGGCAAUUACUCUGCUUAUAUUUUCAGGAUAAAUAUACAAUUACCUUGUUACAAAAGAGAUGAGUCAUCACCAGGACACUGACAAUACAGCAGCAUUACCAAUGUACUCAAACAAUGCUGUCAAAAUGAAGGUAGCAAGGAAAAGUAGAAGUCUGGAAGCCGUGUGACACAGGAGAGCCAGUGAUUAACGGAAGGAUGUGGAGAAGAACUUACCUGUAU